CUUGACCAGCAGAGGAAGUACACGCCGAGGAUGACGGAGCUCCUCAAGGCUUGAACGGAGUGAGAAGAGCUUGGACUAGUAAGGAACCAUAAAAAUGAGCCAAAGAAGACUGUUAUGGCAACCUCCCCCCUGCCCCCCUACUGAUAUUACUGAGGACAUCGUCC